rnacentral:rRNA from 1 species
AUGCUUUGGAAGAAGCUUGUACAGUUUGGGAAGGGGUUUUCUGAGAGAAAAGAAGAAUCUACUUCAACUGAUAUGCCCUUAGGCACGGCCAUGCAUAACAUAGAAAUCACAUGUGGAAGGGGUGGGCAAUUAGCUAGAGCAGCAGGUGCUGUAGCGAAACUCAUUGCAAAAGAGGGUAAAUCGGCCACUUUAAGAUUACCAUCUGGGGAUGUCCAUUUAGUAUCCCAAAACUGCUUAGCAACAGUCGGACAAGUGGGUAAUGUUGGGGUGAACCAAAAAAGUUUGGGUAGAGCCGGAUCUAAGUGUUGGCUAGGUAAACGCCCCGUAGUAAGAGGGGUAGUUAUGAACCCUGUGGACCACCCCCAUGGGGGCGGUGAAGGGAAAGCUCCCAUUGGUAGAAAAAAACCCACAACCCCUUGGGGUUAUCCUGCGCUUGGAAGAAGAACUAGGAAAAGGAAAAAAUAUAGCGAUAGUUUUAUUCUUCGUCGCCGUAAGUAA